rnacentral:rRNA from 1 species
ACGGCAGCACGGACUUCGGUCUGGUGGCGAGUGGCGAACGGGUGAGUAAUGUAUCGGAACGUGCCCAGUAGCGGGGGAUAACUACGCGAAAGCGUAGCUAAUACCGCAUACGCCCUACGGGGGAAAGCAGGGGAUCGCAAGACCUUGCACUAUUGGAGCGGCCGAUAUCGGAUUAGCUAGUUGGUGGGGUAACGGCUCACCAAGGCGACGAUCCGUAGCUGGUUUGAGAGGACGACCAGCCACACUGGGACUGAGACACGGCCCAGACUCCUACGGGAGGCAGCAGUGGGGAAUUUUGGACAAUGGGGGAAACCCUGAUCCAGCCAUCCCGCGUGUGCGAUGAAGGCCUUCGGGUUGUAAAGCACUUUUGGCAGGAAAGAAACGUCAUGGGUUAAUACCCCGUGAAACUGACGGUACCUGCAGAAUAAGCACCGGCUAACUACGUGCCAGCAGCCGCGGUAAUACGUAGGGUGCAAGCGUUAAUCGGAAUUACUGGGCGUAAAGCGUGCGCAGGCGGUUCGGAAAGAAAGAUGUGAAAUCCCAGAGCUUAACUUUGGAACUGCAUUUUUAACUACCGGGCUAGAGUGUGUCAGAGGGAGGUGGAAUUCCGCGUGUAGCAGUGAAAUGCGUAGAUAUGCGG